UAAAAGAACUCAUUUUUAGUAUAGCCUGCUCAAUGAAGUUUAAAUAGCCGCAGUCUCCUGUGCUAAGGUAGCAUAAUCAUUUGCCUAAUAAUUAUAGGAUAGAAUGAAAGGUUACACAUGUUAUCUUCUUUAUUAAAAAGGCUAAAUUAACUUAAAAUUUAAGUAAAAACCCUUAAAUCACUAGGGGGACGACAAGACCCUGUCGAACUUUACAUCUAAUGUUUAGCUGGGGCGGCAAGUAAAUAAAACCUUUACUCUCUCAUCAUCUAAAAACCCUUAAAUACGAUACAAUCAAGUUACCGCAGGGAUAACAGCAUAAUCUUCUCCUAAAGACCUUAUAAAAGAGAAAGUUUGUGACCUCGAUGUUGAAUUAAAAUUCUUUUGGAAGCAGAAUUCUAAAUAGAGAGUCUGUUCGACUCUUAAAUAUUU
rnacentral:rRNA from 1 species